rnacentral:lncRNA from 1 species
AGAAUUUGUUUUCCUGAUAAUAAGCUUUUGGACAUUUUCCCAGAGUGGAGUACAAUUAGGAAUGCCAUGCAGAAUUCAAGAAGAAGAAGCAGCUGAAAACCAGGCAGGACAUCCUGGUCAGUUGUCCUGAGGACCUUCUUAGGAAUGCCUGAGCAUCCAUCCAUAUGUUGUAUACUUUCCUUGCAUAUAUGCUUCUGCGUUUGGUUGUAAACUAUUAGAGUCAUGUGUUGCUGUUUAUGUCAUGUAUUAUGCCUCUAAUCCAGACUCAUACUUCUUACUAACUCUUCUACAGGAUAAAACAGUGUUAGUGAUGGAGCCAGAGCAUUACCUCAUUUUGUUGACGCUGCAUUCAGGUUGCCUGGGGCUUUCCAGUGGCCUACCUGCAAAAUAUUGAGGAGAUGCAGCUUCACAGCUUUUAUACAUGCUCAUCUGUGGCAUUACAAUUUGGACAUCAUUACUUUUCUAAUGUUGCUGCAAAGAUGCUGAUGAGACACAUGUUUCUGACUGCAAAAAGUAUUCAGCUUGUCUUUGAAAGACAAGGUAAUAAAUCAGUUCUUUCUUGUCUACGCAACAAAGACAU